CGGACGGGUGAGUAAUGUCUGGGAAACUGCCUGAUGGAGGGGGAUAACUACUGGAAACGGUAGCUAAUACCGCAUAACGUCGCAAGACCAAAGAGGGGGACCUUAGGGCCUCUUGUCAUCGGAUGUGCCCAGAUGGGAUUAGCUAGUAGGUGGGGUAACGGCUCACCUAGGCGACGAUCCCUAGCUGGUCUGAGAGGAUGACCAGCCACACUGGAACUGAGACACGGUCCAG
rnacentral:rRNA from 1 species